rnacentral:rRNA from 1 species
AUUGAACGCUGGCGGCAGGCCUAACACAUGCAAGUCGAACGAGUGGCGGACGGGUGAGUAAUGUCUGGGAAACUGCCUGAUGGAGGGGGAUAACUACUGGAAACGGUAGCUAAUACCGCAUACCAUCGGAUGUGCCCAGAUGGGAUUAGCUAGUAGGUGGGGUAAAGGCUCACCUAGGCGACGAUCCCUAGCUGGUCUGAGAGGAUGACCAGGCACACUGGGACUGGAGCACCGUUCAGACUCCCACGGGAGGUAGCAGGGGUGAAUAAUUCAAAAUGGGCGCAAGCCUGAUGCAGCCAUGCCGCGUGUAUGAAGAAGGCCUUCGGGUUGUAAAGUACUUUCAGCGGGGAGGCGUUACCCGCAGAAGAAGCACCGGCUAACUCCGUGCCAGCCGCCGCGGUAAUUC